CAUGCAAGUCGAGGGAGAAGCCCUUCGGGGCAGAAACCGGCGCACGGGUGCGUAACGCGUAUGCAACCUACCUUUCACAGGGGGAUAGCCCGAAGAAAUUUGGAUUAAUACCCCAUAAUAUUAUUGGAUGGCAUCAUUUGAUAAUUAAAAUUACGAUGGUGAAAGAUGGGCAUGCGUCCUAUUAGCUAGUUGGAGUGGUAACGGCACCCCAAGGCUACGAUAGGUAGGGGUCCUGAGAGGGAGAUCCCCCACACUGGUACUGAGACAGGGACCAGACUCCUACGGGAGGCAGCAGUGAGGAAUAUUGGUCAAUAGUCGGAAGACUGAACCAGCCAUGCCGCGUGCAGGAAGAAUGCCUUAUGGGUUGUAAACUGCUUUUAUAUGGGAAGAAUAAGGCGUACGUGUACGUUGAUGACGGUACCAUAUGAAUAAGCAUCGGCUAACUCCGUGCCAGCAGCCGCGGUAAUACGGAGGAUGCGAGCGUUAUUCGGAAUCAUUGGGUUUAAAGGGUCUGUAGGCGGGCUAUUAAGUCAGGGGUGAAAGGUUUCAGCUUAACUGAGAAAUUGCCUUUGAUACUGGUAGUCUUGAAUAUCUGUGAAGUUCUUGGAAUGUGUAGUGUAGCGGUGAAAUGCUUAGAUAUUACACAGAACACCGAUUGCGGAGGCAGGGGACUAACAGACGAUUGACGCUGAGAGACGAAAGCGUGGGGAGCGAACAGGAUUAGAUANCCUGGUAGUCCACGCUGUAAACGAUGGAUACUAGCUGUUUGGAGUAAUUUGAGUGGCUAAG
rnacentral:rRNA from 1 species